rnacentral:rRNA from 1 species
ACGCGACCCCAGGUCAAGCGGGGCUACCCGCU